GUCAAGAGAACACUAAGAAGUUCACACAAGUGCAUCACCGGAGUUCCUUGUGGGUUCCUCCUGGCCCUACUGUGUUGAAAGCAGUCUUGACCCUUCUGAAGACCAGAGCCAAUGACCUCUACCAAGACAGUAAGUCCUCUUUUACCCAAUGAUUCUUGGAUGGAAGGGGUCCCCGGUGCUCUGCGGGAAUCUUGAGGUUUCCCGGUCAGCAAAGUGCGCCUUUGAAAACCAGAAUGUUGAGACUGGAAGAGCCCUGACUUGCAGGGCAGGGAGACAACAGCCUCAGGGUCGAGUCUUCGGAAGUUUGGCAUGUUAGCCUGGGUCCGCUAGAGGCUGAUGCCCAGGCAGCCUGAGACUUUUGGCUGAGAUUGGGGGAAUCAAGGAAUGGGAACCAGAAGUAGAGGGAGCACCUUAGACCAGUGCAGUGAAGAAGAGAGAAGGAAAGAGGAGCAGGUGGAAAUUGUCGCAGACUGCAGCCCAGUCCUGAGAGAGGUCUGGCCAAGCCAAGGGGGAGUUCUCCAACUGGUUACCCACUAGAACUGUCCUGUGGAAGACAAAGAGAGAGGAAACAAGUUUGAAUAGGAAGAGGCUUUCUGCUGUGAUGGAGACCUGACAUCCGAGAAAGAAAGGAGCGAGGAGGCAGCACUGGGCAGGGGCAGACCCCUGACCACAUGACCGCACGAACACUGCAGAUCUGAUGAAGACGGAGGGCCCUCCUGAGUAAAGGCUGCUGCAGUUUGUUAAAAAUCUGUGAGCCUGUGUCAGAUGCCAAGCUGGGUUCGGCCCUGCAAGAGAUUCACCAAGGCUCUCCCAUGAAGAUGUAGGAGGGUGCUGGGAAGACUGGGGGGCUGCUGGAAGGUAAUGAAGGUAUGACCCGUGUGAAGGAGGCAGGGAGGGAGAGAAGGAGGAGGGCUGGAAAAACACCUCCCUUGGCUGCAGUGCAGUCUGGUGGGGUCCAGCGAGGCUGUGGGGAAGUCCUGGACUAAUGUCAAUCAGAAGAGUCCCACACCCCCCAGGAAUGGCCUGCCUCCAGUGAGACAAAGCAGCAAACAUAAGAAGCCACCUUUGCUCAUUUCUGCUUGCCAGCAUCACUUCACACAGCCCCUGACUCUGGGACGACGUGCCGUUUUCUGGAAAGAUGCUUUGAAGACAAAACAGGAUAGGGCACCCAGCUCCCCCUCAGGUCUCUCACCCGGGUCACCCUCUUCCUUAAAAGUGGAAUGACCGCAGUCCUGCCUUUUCCUGCACGUAAGAUAACGUCUGAUGGCUUUGUCAUUGUGCCUCUGGAGACUAUGACCAAGUGUUUGUUCUCUUGCACCCAAACCUUGAUGUGAUUUUGUACAGACUGAACCUUUACCACUCGUACAUCAACUGUGAGCUAAAAUGAUGCUUUGGCGGUGGCUUAGAGAACAACUCUGAAAGACGCCGCCCGGGAGAGUGGACUUCCUUUGGCCGCAGUCCUCAGGAAGACUUCCGAGUAAAAGGAGCUUUAACUCUUACAGACUUGAUUUCUGUUUUAGAAGACAGAACUCCCUGUCUCCUAGUAUCCCUGCCGCCCUCUGUCUCUGCCUGGGAACAGCCUGCAGCAAGUGUGGCCUCACUGCAAACCAGUGAUAGACUUGGUGACAGAUUUGGUGACCAACAAAUUUGGCGACCGAGAGCCCUCAGUCAAGGAUUGUCCCCGCGGCUGAAGAUCUGAGAGGCCAUUUCCACGGUCACCACAAAAGUCUUCCUGGCUAGUAUGGUGCCGACACACCUACAGAAGCCUGUCUGCAGAGGAAAGUGACUAUACAUCUGAAAAUACCCAGAUUAAGGACUGACAGGGUCCAUGCAAGUAGAAAGGUAUCAUCUCCUAAAACCCACGACCCACCAAGGUCCUUUGAAGAUACCACUGCUAUCAAAACAGCCUUGCUACGGAGGAGAGCGCUAGCUGGGACUUUCAGCUUUUCAGAAGCAUGAGACAUGGCCCCAGUUAAGAACUAAAACAGCAGAAACCAACUACAGUGAAGGCACCAGUGAAGUCCGAUUCUCAGACUAGGGGUUGAGAGCUCAAGACUCAUUCUAGGCUCUGCCCCAACCCUCAUUUGGUCUCAGACACGUCCUUGGGAUUCUUUCUGGGAGUGCAUUCCUGGUGACUCUGCUUCCUAUAUGUGCUUCUAACUGUCACCUAGCAGGUACAGAGCCAUCAUAUCUGCAGAACAGAGGAACUGUUUACCUAUGGCAGUCCUUUUAUUUACAAAAGCGAGUCUUCCUCUCCAUCAUUUUCUCCACCUCCGCCUAAUUCCAGUACAUCGAAUGGGGCAAAGAACAAGCUCUUCUGAGCCGGUCAUGAGAUUUCUCCAAGUUCCGGCUCCCUUUUCUGAACAACAGGAGGUACCCACCUUACACGUUGUUCUGAAGCUUACAUGAAAUACUGUUGGGUGCUUAUUAACAAUUCCUGGUUUCCUCAUUAUUUUGCUCUUUCAUUUAACCUGUAGUACUCAUAGCUCUUCCUCAUUCUAAAAACAAUCUCAAAGAUCAUUUUAUUUUGUUACAUGCAGGUGCUCUGAAGUUUAUUGUCUCUGUGGCCUAUAGCAGGAGAAGCUGAACCCCUCGCCGAUGUCAUGGGGGGGACUUUGCACAUGUCCCUGAUCCCACUUCAGCAGCCUUGCAAACCCAGGGCCUAUUUCAAUGUCCACCUCCCCUGACUUGGAGGUUUAAACCUGUGCCCCCCGGCUGCUCUGUGCCUUGCCCAGAAGACAUGGGACAGACAAUUCCAUUGUUACCAACUGUCCCUUCUUGGUUUGCUCCUCCUGGAGCUUUUAGGCUGGGCUGGACCCACAAACUGAGCUUGAGGGUAGCAGGCAGAUGUCACUCAAAGGUUGGAGAGGGGUUGAUUGUAGUGUCGGUUCACAACUCUUCUGUCCCUCACACCCUGUGUGGCCUCCUUUGGGGAAGGUAUGUUUUCCUCCCCACUGAACUGGGCUUGACCAUGUGACUUGCUGUGGCCAUGUGGGCAGAGACAGCUGUGUGUCCACCCUGAACAGCCGCUUUAGGAGGUCUGCAUGGUGCCAUUGGCCUCCUGUGCCCCUGCAGUCCCCCUGCUGGUUAGUAUCCAAAAUGCUCAGUUGAAGAGUUCCCUGCCUUGGUUCAGGUGACAGCUGCCACUUCCACUAUGGUCCGACCAAAAUUCAACACCAACCUUCCCUUUAUCGUGCCCUUUGGUACGGGCAGGCCCCACUAUGGCACCUCUGGGGCCAUCUGCUGCUUGGAACACAAGCUCGAGGCCACCUGCCGAAGCCUUUUCCCUUCCUGUCUCAUCUCUGAGGCCAUAAGUGACCUCAUGAUCUGAGACAAAGCCUCACAUGCAAUCGCUUUUCCGAAGUCCCCUGACAAUUCAACAUGCAUUGCUUCCUUGCAAUGGGCCGCUCCUUCCCUGGCCUCUGUUAAAUGGCAGACCCUCCUUGCGGGGAACAUUCAGUUGUCUGGUGAGGGCUUUGCCUUCUGAGGCAGGUGCUCUUAAGCAGAAGAGUCCGGUUGUCAAGAGCUGGUCCUGGAAGGUUAGGGCAAGAAGGCAAGGAUGACUCUCAAGACACAUGGCCAAGUCUCUGCUCUGCAUCGAGCUGGCUCUGAGGAGCUCCAGGAGGGGGUCCCUCUAAUUCCUGCUCACUUGUCUACCCCGCCUUCCACCCACCAGCUCUCAUUUUAGCACAGCCCUUUCAAAAGCAGGGAACUAGGCUUCUGACCCUGUUUUUCUAGCACUGAAACAGGGAAGCUGAGUAGGCAAUCGAAAGGGCUAAUAGCAGCAGUCCCCCAACCUUUCUGACACCAGGGACUGAUUUCGUGGAAGACAACUUUUCCACAGACCGAGGAGGUGGGAGAGUAGAUAGCUUUGUGGUUUGGGGAUGAUUCAAGCCCAUGACAUUGCGCACUUUAUCAUUAUUAUUAUUACAUUGCAAUCUAUAAUGAAAUAAUCAUACAACUCACCAUAAUGUAGAAUCCGUGGGAGCCCUGAGCUUGUUUUUGUGUAGCUACACGGUCUCGUGUGGGGGUAAUGGGAGACAGUAACGGAUCAUCAGGCAUUAGAUUCUUACAAGGAGCUCAAAGCCUAGAUCCCUCACAUGUGCAGUUCACCAUAGUGUUGGCACUUCUAUGAGAACCUGAUGCCACUGAUCUGAUAGCAGGCCGGGCUCCAGCAGUAAUUCGAGCCAUGAGGAGCUGCUGUAAACACAGUUGAAGCUUUGCUCACUUGCCCACAGCUCACCUCCUGCUGUGUGGUACUGGUCUGUGGCCUGGGCGUUGAGGACCCUUGUGCUACAGCAUAGAGCACCCACGCUGAUGCCAAACCACUCAGGCCCAGGCUACCUCUGCCCUCACUAGGUGGGUGACCUUGGAAAAUGCAUGUAGCUUCUCUCUGCUGUUUCCUCAAGACUUCAGCAGGAAGCAUCACUGCAGGUAAAGUGAGCACGUGUUCGGGGUUGCUCAGGACAGUCCUACUUACAAGCUUUUUGCACUCUCAAGUACAGCAGGAGCUGUCAGGAGUCUGUCACACAGU